UUUCGAUGGUAGGAUAGAGGCCUACCAUGGUGGUAACGGGUAACGGGGUGUUAGGGCACGACACCGGAGAGGGAGCCUGAGAAACGGCUACCACAUCCAAGGAUGGCAGCAGGCGCGCAAAUUACCCAAUCCCGACACGGGGAGGUAGUGACAAUAAAUAACAAUACGGGGUUCUUUAGGAUCUCGUAAUUGGAAUGAGUACAAUUUAAAUCUCUUAACGAGGAACAAUUGGAGGGCAAGUCUGGUGCCAGCAGCCGCGGUAAUUCCAGCUCCAAUAGCGUAUAUUAAAGUUGUUGCAGUUAAAAAGCUCGUAGUUGAAUUUCGGGGUUAGUAGGUUGGUCAUGCCUCUGGUAUGUACUGGUCUCACUGAUUCCUCCUUCCUGAUGAGCCGUAAUGCCAUUAAUUUGGUGUUGCGGGGAAUUUGGACUGUUACUUUGAAAAAAUUAGAGUGUUUAAAGCAAGCUAACGCUUGAAUACAUUAGCAUGGAAUAAUGAAAUAGGACGUUCGAUCCUAUUUUGUUGGUUUCUAGGAUUGACGUAAUGAUUAAUAGGGAUAGUUGGGGGCAUUAGUAUUCAAUUGUCAGAGGUGAAAUUCUUGGAUUUAUUGAAGACUAACUACUGCGAAAGCAUUUGCCAAGGAUGUUUUCAUUAAUCAAGAACGAAAGUUAGGGGAUCGAAGACGAUCAGAUACCGUCGUAGUCUUAACCAUAAACUAUGCCGACUAGGGAUCGGAUGAUGUUAAUUUUUUAAUGACUCAUUCGGCGCCUUACGGGAACA
rnacentral:rRNA from 1 species